rnacentral:rRNA from 1 species
GACGAACGCUGGCGGCGUGCUUAACACAUGCAAGUCGAGCGGUAAGGCCCUUUCGGGGGUACGACGAGCGGCGAACGGGUGAGUAACACGUGGGUGACCUGCCCUCAGCUCUGGGAUAAGCCCGGGAAACUGGGUCUAAUACCGGAUAUGACUUCAUGACGCAUGUUGUGGAGUGGAAAGCCUUGUGCGGCUGAGGAUGGGGCCCGCGGCCUAUCAGCUUGUUGGUGGGGUGAGGCCUACCAAGGCGACGACGGGUAGCCGGCCUGAGAGGACGACCAGUCACACCGGAACUGAGACACGGUCCGGACUCCUACGGGAGGCAGCAGUGGGGAAUAUUGGACAAUGGGCGAAAGCCUGAUCCAGCGACGCCGCGUGGGUGAAGAAGCCUGCGGGUUGUAAAGCCCUUUCGGUGGGGAAGAAAAGCUCGAGUUAAUACCUCGGGUCUUGACGUAACCCAUAGAAGAAGCACCGGCUAACUCUGUGCCAGCA